GUACAUGCAUUAAAAGGGGAGGCUUAUGUUUUGCCUCUUUCAAGAAUGGAGCCAAAAGACAGAGUAACUGAUUGACAUGCAUAAUGUCCAUGGUGGAGAAGAGCCUUAAACACCCAGUCACGCCCUCUACGUCAACAGGCAGAGAGGACCCUAGCUGGCUUGAUCUUGCCAAGGGAGGGGUGCAAAAAAGUAGAGGAGGACAGAGUGCUACCUUCACAGCUUUAGCCCCUGCAAAACCACUCGAAGCCAGCCUUAUUUCAAGAUCUUGAUAUAGAUCCGUACCUGAUGAUGAUGAUAAUCCACUGAGAAAAAUCUUUGUAUAUUACCGAUUCCAAGUAGCAGUUUCCCUCGGAGUCGCUCUGCCACGAGAAACCCUUCUCCCUGUCACUGAGAGAACAUUUUUACUCUGUACCAGAAUGAACCAGACUUAUCCGCUGUUGCAAUGCAGAUUAUUUAGCCUCGCAUUGACAUUUUUCCAGAAGAUCCCCUGGUGUUUCUUGCUGCCUUUGCCGUUGAGAAAUAUUGAAGGAUAAAAACUGGAUUCAGACUCCCGAGACAUUUAAUUCACAAUCCUGCCAAGAGAAACAUUAUUUAGGAAAUCAGAUGACUCAAUCUAAGGUGAUCCCUCCCUUGCCAGCAGCGUCCAGAAGCAUUCCCGUCUCACAGCAACCCCAGUGUACACACCUACUUUGGGAUAGAUUGCUAGGCUGGUGGCAAUAAGGCGUGCCACCCUGUGCUGUGAUCCCACUAGAUUUUACAAGCUAAUCAAGAUUUAGCUAUGUCUGUUUGGAUGGAAG